rnacentral:tRNA from 1 species
AUGGGUGUAGCUCAACUGGAAGAGUGCCGGAUUCCAAACCCGGAGGUUGAGGGUUCGAAGCCUUCCACCCAUG